rnacentral:misc_RNA from 1 species
CAAGCGUUUACAUAUUCACACAAUGACGAUUCGCAGCGAUCCCACACUGCACGUUUGAAUGGUUUGUCAUUAUACGAAAUUUCUAAGCUUAACCGCUACACCGAUUCGCUUUGGGGAGCAACGGUCGUCGAACUACAGGUUCCACGUUCACUCGCUUCUUUCCCUACCCGUAUGUCGUUGCUGACGGCCAUUUGUACGAGCUUUCAAUCAACAUUUUUUUCAGGACAAUCUACACCAUCAGCGCAGUGACGAUUGAGAUACGGAGAAUACGUGAGGCCAUAGUUGAGCGGACGCUGCACUACCACGAUAAACACACGCAGGAGAACUGGGUGACUCGUCAUCUCUCAACCUAAAUCAACCUGUUUUUCAUUGCUAUAUACAUUAGAUGGACAUAGCUAAGCCACUCAGAACCUGGAAUUGGACCAUGGAACCGUCACUCAUAGUCUGUUGAAAGAUGUUAAGUGAGAAUUGUGCUGGAACUUGACCUAGAGAGAUUCAGCCUUGUGGAGGAGGAUUAAGUGGACAUUUUCGUCUGAUUAUAGCACAGGGAGUUUAGGUAAAAAAAAACUCGCAUCAAUUGACGAUGUCGAUAGCCGGAAGUAUCGCAGGCGAGUCCGUGUACUAUGAAGAGCCAUACUCUGUUCCUGGGCCAUGCCGUACCUGUUGUAUGCGCUGCCCGUGUCCCAGCAUCCUUGCUUCCCUAGCCUUCUUAGGGGGCGCUGCGCUGUUCUGUCUGGCGGGAGUUCUGGCUGGCCAACAAGCAGCGGAACUCUUCCAAGGGACUUAUAUCGGCGACGAUGUGGACACAUGGAUUUCGUACAUUUCGAUAGCUUUGUACGUGGAGGUUGCUGUCAUGACGAUCUUUGCUGUGGCUCUCUUGGGUAUAUCUUGUCUGGGUACCGGGGCAGUGAGAAAAGAGUUCAUGUGGCGAUUCAGGUCACGAGCCAGAGGCAGAUGUCAGACUGCACUGUUCAUGAUAGUUGUUUACUUCUUGUUUCUGCUGUGGCUAAGUCUUAGUUUUGUCUCGCUGGUUCCCAUCAUCUUCUUCUAUAUCCAAAGACGUGGAAUGUGCUUGGCUCCUCCUCUGGAUGAGUCUGACCCUUCCGCCGAAGAGCCGUGCAUUGACCUCAAGCAGUGGAGUCUUGUUCCAGCUGAUUACAAGUGCACAAUCACUGACUGCAGAGACACAAUUUGUGGUGCCAAGCUUACGGCUUUGUGUGAUAGUAACGUUCUGCUGUGGUUUUCAUUGGCGUUCUUUGCGGCGGUCCUUGUCACGCUGUCUAUGCUCCACUUUCUGAUAAAUUUUUCGGCCAAUUUUGCGAAACUCCGAGAUCGAUUCAAGGAUGGCUUUGCCAAUCGCAAAUCAGGAGCCUACUUAGUUCGGGCCGGGUCUGUCAGGAGCAGUCGUCAUUCCAUGAGAGCAAAGAGCUCCUUACGAGCAAGCCGAAACAAUGUCUUGCGUGGAUCCCGAGGAUCUCUAAGGACAGUUAGUAACCAUGACAGCAACAAUUACGAGCUCAAUGACGCCACAAAUAAUGCAGAAACACUGCGCAUGACAGAGGCCUAUCGGAACCAGACAUUAAACGGUAGUAGGGAUGAACUGUAUGCCACGACUAAUAUGAAUCACGAUAGUCUGGGUUACGAUCGUGAGCCUGUCUCCGCCUUACAGAAUCACUAUGUAGAUCAACCUCAGCAGCCUCCACCAGCUUACGGUAGUCGGCAUGGCAUUGACCAACCAGUGCCGAGUAUCGCUGGUGCAGAGACUGGUCCUCCACCUGCCUAUGGACGCCCAAAUGCUAACGGUCGCGCACCAAGUCAUGCUAGUAGUAGCAUCAGUGGCAACGCUAGUGGGAACUUCCCAGCACAUUCUAAAAUGAACACUCUGGAUUAUAACCGAGAUAUUGACUAUAAAAGGGAUGACUUUUACCCAAGGAACAGUAAUUUCAACUUGAAGCCCACUAAUUACCAUGACAGCGACGUGUUGGAUGGCAUGGAUGCUGGUAGCGUUCACGGGAGUGUACAGCACAGCAGUGCGGGGGAUAACAGCGACGGUGUCUUUGGCAGUAGCCGAUGGGGCUAUAAUCAAUACCAUGCUGAUGAGAGAAGCCGACGCCCACUUAGCAGUUACGCUGAUCCCGAACCAGCCCCAUCUCUUGGCUCGCCUUUGUCUGACAGAGCGCCUCUUGGAGGCUUCAGUGAACAUUACAUAUGAUUGUUGGAAUGACUGACUCGUCUAACCUCGUAAAAUAGUGCGUUGAAACGUUUUUAUACGAGAAAGUAAUCCAAUGGUGUGUGUCCAAAAAUGCUGAUCAAAUCUUAUCCCUACAAAUGUAAGACUGUAAAUCUUAUGUCAUUUUAUGUUGGUAGUGACUAACCCCGGUUAAAGGAUUAACUCAUUGCAAAGGUUUGCGUAAAUGUGUGUAAUACCAGAAAAAGUUGUUGAUUGGUUUGAUAUGCAUACAAAGAUAUUGUUGAUAAAGCUUAUCCCCUAACGUGGUGUGGUCCCUAACGUGACCGUCUGACCGACUUUGAGUUUUCGCCUCUGUUGUCCUGCUAGAGCAAUUUUGCUUACCUUAAUUUCGCAAUACAUGAAAUUUCAUCAAACCCUGCUAGUUUGGCCUGAUUCUCCGUCCUUUUUAAGGGACUCCACUAUAGUUUGUUGUGCUUGGUGCAGUCGGUAGUGUCUCUUGAUCAGUAUUACUCAGUACUCAAGGCCCUCGAACCACUAAAAGAUGGAAUGCAUUUGCCAUUGACAUGUAAUUGUUUGCUACAAUUUAAACAGGUAUUUUCUUUAUUCAGCGGUUUGGUUGGUUGGUUUUCAAGUAACUUGCUUUUUUUGUUACCAGUUUCCCCCGUAGACAAAGACCGUUGCGAUAAUGACCAAAAGGCAUGAUUCAGCAUUCGUGAAAGCCAUGGACCGUUCUUCCAAUCUCCAACAAGUUCAAAAUGGGUCCUGUGUGCCGUCAUUGAGUUUAGAUUUGAAGCAGUAGUCAGGGCAACCUCUUUACUGUACAUGUCUUUUUAAAGAAAGUUUACAACCACGUGUAAAUAGCUUCAAAUUGUUUGGACCAAAGGAUAGAUUAUGUAUAUAUUUUUGUAUCUUAUUUGCGCAAGUAAUGUUUGUAUUCACUUGAAGAUUACAAUGAAUGCAGCAAUUGGGAAGAGAUUCAAACACUUCAGUAGUUUACUGUUCUGUAAAAUUGGCCUUUAAAUCAAGUUAUGUUUCCUCGGUAUGUAAUUAACAUAGUAAAGGGAUGCCGGACUUUGUAAUUUAAAUAAUUGUAUAGUGUAAGAGGACUGCAGAUUUUCGAAAGCAGAAAUUGUAAAUAUCAUAGUUUCCAAAUUGUUGGGGAAUUGUAAAUUACUUUUUCAGAGAUGUGUAAAAAGAGGAUAGAACAUCAAUAUUCAACCUCCUCUUUACAGACUGUAAAUCUUGUGAACAUCGUAAUGGUGCAUAAAUUAGAUUUUUAGUUUGAGCGUUUGGUUACACAUUUUGAGACUACUCGGAAUGUUUAAUUAGUGCUUUGAUAUGGUUUAUGUACAUGGCUAUUAGUUUGAGUUUCUAAAGUUUUGUUUUUGAAAUAAAUGCCUGACUUACAGCCGAGA